GAAAAAAACCAGGGCAGUUGUCAAGGAUGGGAAAGAAUUUAUAUAGGGCAAGAAAGAAAAAGGGCUAGGGGCACACAUGUGGAGCACACACUGCAGUUAGACAUGGUUUAACAGGUGUGUGUUUGCGCUGUAGUAAAGAUUUAAGUGGGUUUAAAUCUUUUAGGACUGACAAAAUGCAGCCACUUUUUGACUGAGGCAGGGUUGUUUCCUCCUUCAAGGAUACGACGCACAGAAUUAAAAUGUGAUGAAGACGGCUGCUGCAGCAGCCUCAAGGAGGAAGUAGAAGAAGUAGAUUUGAAUGUAACAGCAGCUCCUCCUUGGUGCGUGAUCACUCAAUGUCAACCGGAUGGCUGUCUUUCUCCCAGCUGAUGACAGGCUCUGGCAGACCACGAAUCUGACACUGGAAUCGAGCGACGCCCGACUCCUCAGCAUGCACCGACUCUGGCUGGACAUGGAAGUCUGCCAUAGCUGCGAAAGCAAGAGAAGAUACUUGGAGCCACUAUUCACCCUCCAGGUCAUCACCAGAGUCCUGAUCUAACAAAGUUUAUGCCUCCACCACUUCGUAAUUAGCCGGGAUGAUGAUCAGCCGCCUGUGUUGCCUGUGCAGCUGCUCCUGCACCAGCAUUGACGUCCUUGUUCUCCAGGGUAACAGAGUAACACUAAGCUACUUAGACAUUAAAACAGUGCCUCAUAUGGAUAUCUUCAUCUUCCACUAUAACAUCCAUAACAUUUUAAGAGGAUAACAUAGUGACUAGGAAGCUGCCAUGUCACUCAAAGUUAAAGUACGUUUUUUCUUAUGAAAUGAGACUAUCAAUAUAAAAGAUCUAAAUAAAAGGUCUCAAAAAGCUUAAGUGAAGGUACUUUGUAAUUUUAGCUGACUUUGUGUUGUUGAUUUUCCCUUUUUCUGUCUUUGUUCCUAUU